rnacentral:rRNA from 1 species
AACGAACGCUGGCGGCAUGCCUAACACAUGCGAGUCGAACGAGACCUUCGGGUCUAGUGGCGCACGGGUGCGUAACGCGUGGGAACCUGCCUUUAGGUUCGGAAUAACUCAGAGAAAUUUGAGCUAAUACCGGAUGAUGUCUUCGGACCAAAGAUUUAUCGCCUUUAGAUGGGCCCGCGUUGGAUUAGCUAGUUGGUGGGGUAAAGGCCUACCAAGGCGACGAUCCAUAGCUGGUCUGAGAGGAUGAUCAGCCACACUGGGACUGAGACACGGCCCAGACUCCUGCGGGAGGCAGCAGUGGGGAAUAUUGGACAAUGGGCGAAAGCCUGAUCCAGCAAUGCCGCGUGAGUGAUGAAGGCCUUAGGGUUGUAAAGCUCUUUUACCCGAGAUGAUAAUGACAGUAUCGGGAGAAUAAGCUCCGGCUAACUCCGUG